UGGGGGAUAUUGCACAAUGGGCGAAAGCCUGAUGCAGCGACGCCGCGUGGGGGAUGAAGGCCUUCGGGUUGUAAACUUCUUUUGCUCUGAACAAGGCAUGCUAAUGGGUGUGUUGAGUGUAGGGGUUGAUUAGCGCCGGCUAACUACGUGCCAGCAGCCGCGGUAAUACGUAGGGCGCGAGCGUUGUCCGGAAUCAUUGGGCGUAGAGGGCUUGUAGGUGGCUGGUUGCGUCUGUCGUGAAAGCUCAUGGCUUAACUGUGGGUUUGCGGUGGGUACGGGCUGGCUUGAGUGCAGUAGGGGAGGCUGGAAUUCCUGGUGUAGCGGUGGAAUACGCAGAUAUCAGGAGGAAUACCGGUGGCGAAGGCGGGUCUCUGGGCUGUUACUGACACUGAGGAGCGAAAGCAUGGGGAGCGAACAGG
rnacentral:rRNA from 1 species